rnacentral:rRNA from 1 species
GACGAACGCUGGCGGCGUGCCUAAUACAUGCAAGUCGAACGCAGUGGGGUCGGGUGAGUAACACGUGGGUAACCUCCCAUCAGAGGGGAUAACACUUGGAAACAGGUGCUAAACCGCUACUUAUGGAUGGACCCGUGGUGAAUUAGCUAGUGGGUGAGGUAACGUCUCACAAGGGCCACGAUGCAUAGCAGGCCUGCGAGGGGUAUCUGCCACACUUGGGCUGAGACACGGCCCAGACUCCUACGGGAGGUAGCAGGAGGGAAUUUUUGGCAAUGGACGAAAGUCUGACCGAGCAACGCCGCGUGAGUGAAGAAGGUUUUCGGAGCGUAAAACUCUGUUGUUAGAGAAGCGGUAUCUAACCAGAAAGCAACGGCUAACUACGUGCCAGCAGCCGCGGUAAUAC